AUUGAACGCUGGCGGCAGGCCUAACACAUGCAAGUCGAGCGAGCGGCGGACGGGUGAGUAAUGUCUGGGAAACUGCCUGCUGGAGGGGGAUAACUACUGGAAACGGUAGCUAAUACCGCAUACCAUCAGAUGUGCCCAGAUGGGAUUAGCUGGUAGGUGGGGUAACGGCUCACCUAGGCGACGAUCCCUAGCUGGUCUGCGAGGAUGACCAGCCACACUGGAAUUGGGAAACGGUCCAGACUCCUACGGAGGGCAGCAGUGGGGAAUAUUGCACAAGGGGCGCAAGCCUGAUGCAGCCAUGCCGCUUGUGUGAAGAAGGCCUUCGGGUUGUAAAGCACUUUCAGCGGGGAGGCGUUACCCGCAGAAGAAGCACCGGCUAACUCCGUGCCAGCAGCCGCGGUAAUAC
rnacentral:rRNA from 1 species